rnacentral:rRNA from 1 species
UACGUAGGUCCCGAGCGUUAUCCGGAUUUAUUGGGCGUAAAGCGAGCGCAGGCGGUUAGUUAAGUCUGAAGUUAAAGGCUGUGGCUUAACCAUAGUACGCUUUGGAAACUGUUUAACUUGAGUGCAGAAGGGGAGAGUGGAAUUCCAUGUGUAGCGGCGAAAUGCGUAGAUAUAUGGAGGAACACCGGUGGCGAAAGCGGCCCUCUGGUCUGUAACUGACGCUGAGGCGCGAAGGCGUGGGGAGCAAACAGG